rnacentral:rRNA from 1 species
GGCAGCAGCCGCGGAACACCGGCGGCCCGAGUGGUGAUCGUGAUUAUUGGGUCUAAAGGGUCCGUAGCCGGUUGGUCAGUCCUCCGGGAAAUCUGAUAGCUCAACUAUUAGGCUUUCGGGGGAUACUGCCAGACUUGGAACCGGGAGAGGUAAGAGGUACUACAGGGGUAGGAGUGAAAUCUUGUAAUCCCUGUGGGACCACCUGUGGCGAAGGCGUCUUACCAGAACGGGUUCGACGGUGAGGGACGAAAGCUGGGGGCACGAACCGGAUUAGAUACCCGGGUAGUCCCAGCCGUAAACGAUGCUCGCUAGGUGUCAGGCAUGGCGCGACCGUGUCUGGUGCCGCAGGGAAGCCGUGAAGCGAGCCACCUGGGAAGUACGGCCGCAAGGCUGAAACUUAAAGGAAUUGGCGGGGGAGCACAACAACGGGUGGAAGCCUGCGGUUUAAUUGGACUCAACGCCGGACAACUCACCGGGGGCGACAGCAAUAUGUAGGCCAAGCUGAAGACUUUGCCUGAAUCGCUGAGAAGUGGUGCAUGG